UGCAAGUCGAGCGGUAACAGGUGUAGCAAUACAUGCUGACGAGCGGCGAACGGGUGAGUAAUGCUUUGGAAUCUUCCCAGUAGUGGGGAAUAACCAGUCGAAAGAUUGGCUAAUACCGCAUACGUCUGUAAAGGGAAAGCGGGGGCUCGUAAGACCUCGCGCUAUUGGAUGAGCCAAAGUCGGAUUAGCUAGUUGGUGGGGUAAUGGCCUACCAAGGCGACAAUCCGUAGCUGGUCUGAGAGGACGACCAGCCACACCGGAACUGAGACACGGUCCGGACUCCUACGGGAGGCAGCAGUGGGGAAUAUUGGACAAUGGGGGAAACCCUGAUCCAGCGACGCCGCGUGUGUGAAGAAGGCCUGCGGGUUGUAAAGCACUUUUAGUGGGGACAAAAAGCUACGGAUUAAUACUCUGUGGUCUUGAUUUAACCCAAAGAAAAAGCACCGGCUAACUCUGUGCCAGCAGCCGCGGUAAUACAGAGGGUGCGAGCGUUAAUCGGAAUUACUGGGCGUAAAGCGCGCGUAGACGGUUUUGUAAGUCAGAUGUGAAAUCCCUGGGCUCAACCUGGGAACUGCAUUUGAGACUGCAUGGCUAGAGUAUCGAAGAGGGAAGUGGAAUUUCCGGUGUAGCGGUGAAAUGCGUAGAUAUCGGAAGGAACACCAGUGGCGAAAGCGACUUCCUGGUCGAAUACUGACGUUCAUGUGCGAAAGCGUGGGGAGCAAACAGGAUUAGAUACCCUGGUAGUCCACGCCAUAAACGAUGACAACUAGAUGUUGGGAGGGUCUGCCUCUCGGUGUCGCAGCUAACGCGU
rnacentral:rRNA from 1 species